AUCGCUUCUUGGUCUUUUGGCUAAGAUCAAAUGUAGUAUCUGUUCUUAUCAGUUUAAUAUCUGAUACAUCCUCUAUCCGAGGACAAUAUAUUAAAUGGAUUUUUGAGCUUGGAGUUGGAAUAGGAGCUUGCUCUGUCCACUCCAUGCAUCGACCUGGUGUUGCAGUACUUCCAGGAACAGUGCACCCCCU
ensembl:snRNA U2 U2 spliceosomal RNA